GUUUAAAUCUGUCCGGCACAUUUUGCGGUCUGAGCAGGGUCACGUGGCCCUGCUCCGCACCAGGCAACCCCCCCCUCCCCGCUUUUACAACCUUGUUUGAUUUCUGCGACUUCAAGGCAGAGCCUCCAGAGCUCAUCCAGGCGCCCAGGAGAUGGUUGAUUUCUUCUCACCUUGAUCUUGGGACUACAGGUGUGAACCAUGGCUCCUGGCCUAGGACAGUGGCACGGUGGCUCAUGCCUGUAAUCUCAGCACUUUGGAGGCUGAGGCAGGUGGAUCUCUUGAGCCCAGGAGUUCAAGACCAGCCUGGACAACAUGGCAAAACCUCAUCUCUACAAAAAUACAAGAAUUAGCCAGGCAUGGUGGUGUGCACGUGCAGUCCCAACUACUCUGGAGGCUGAGGUGGGAGGAUUGCUUGAGCCUGGGAAGUUGAUGCUGUGGUGAGCCAAGAUUGUGCUACUGCACUCCAGCCUGGGUGACAGAGCAAGAGCCUGUCUCAAAAAAAAGAAAAGAACAGAAAAGAAAUAUUUAAAAAGAAGGUUAGACAGGCCAUGCCUUAAACUCAUAUGGAACCUCCACCCUGAGCAGGAAAGAGGGUGAGCAAUGGAUGGGUGCUGGGAGAAUGCUGGGAGGGCCUGUGGGCACUGGGAGGUACUGGGCAGAGGUACCCUUCUUUGCCCUCCACUCCAGCAUGAGGUUCCACGAUGCCUCUGGAGGGGUGAGGUUGGGAGGGGAGAGUGUAGUGGGGUGGGAGAGGCCCUGGUCCCCCACCUGCAGAAGAGGAGCAGGGGCCCUUGUUGAUCACAGUCCUGGGACACAGCACCUCAGCCUAAGGUCAGGACAUGCCCCUCUGGAGGACAGCUGUGCCACCGGAGAUGCAUUGCAUUGCAGCUGGACUAGGAGGGGGCCAGUCUGCAGUGAGGCGAGUGGCUGGGGUGUUGAGUGUGGGGGCAUUCCCUGAGAUUUUCAACGUCAUUUUCAUCUGCGUCUGAAUGUUCAGCAGCUCCCAGGGUGCUGACAUAUUAUUUCUCAAUCUGGGUGCUGAUCCCUCGGGGGUGUUUGUUUUGUGGCCGUUCACUGGGCUAUCCAGGAGCCGUCUGUGCACUCUUCUCUGUGGUUCUAUGCCUCACACACGGUGCGGGGACAGCAUCCACAGGUUGUCCUGGGCAGAGGAGAGGGGCUUCCUGGCGCACCAGGAGAGAAGGCACAGGGGCCUCUGGCAGCUGAGCCCUCAAGAAACAGUCAGGCCAUGCGACCCUUCCCCCAAGUGAGGUGCCCCUGGACCCACAGGUGUCGGUGUGGGGCGGCUCUGAUGGCAGCCAGCCCCCAUGGGACCUCUGAGUCACAGCCUCAGCCCACCUGUGCCUCAGAGUCACUCUUGACAGCCCCACAAACAAACUCUGUGUGAUAAGGGACAGGUCCUUGCUCCCCGCUCUGCUGAGGGAGGCGCCCGACCCGAGCCUUCCCCUCUGUCCUCUACAUGACACUUCUGCACUGGUAACUGAAUGGUAUCUUGCAAACAAGCACUUGUCCCCUUUCCAAGUCCUCCCACCACAUUCACGCAUUCGCCUUUCAAAGGCACAGCUGGGCUCUGGUCCUCGCUCAUGGGAGGAAACCCAGGGAAACCCACAAAGCCAAGGUCACGCAGAUGCCCAGCAAAGGCAGAGCCAGGGCCAAGCCCAGCCUUCACAUGCGUGGCCGCUUUCUCUCUGCCCAGCACAGGAGCUGCAGGAGAAGAGCCCUGGGGGACGGUGCCCCAGCCCACCCAUGCCCAGUGGGUGGGGCAGAUGUGGCUGCGGACCCCAGGCUCAGGAGCUUCUCACUGGCCAUCCUCGGAGGAGAAACCAGCCCUGCCUCACCCCAGGGCUAUGCACUCGUGCCCACUGUGCAAAGGCCAUGAAGCCUGCAGCAGCUGCAGCCAGGAGCCGACAGGUCAUGGGCAGUGCCCCAUUCGACUGGGACAGCUGGGCUCCCACCCCAGACUCCCUUCUCCCGCCAAGAGUUUCCCCACAGCAAGGACUGCCUUCCUCCUCUGAGCCAGCCAGGCAGCCACUAGCCCAGUCUGGCUGGGGACAGAGUCCUGGGUGGUCUAUUUCCCCGCCCUGUCCUUUUCUUCUCUCAGGCUGAGCCCAGUGCUGGGAUUGAGGAUAGGGAAUGGGCGCUCUUGAACUGCUGAUUGGCUGAUCCCUAUCACCCACCAGAAGCUGCAGGGGAAAGUGACAAGGGCAGCAGAUACCAGUACUCUCAGGAGUCCGUCCAGGACCUUCUGGACUUCAAAAUGCUUUCAAGCACUUACCUUCUCUGCAUCCCCAACAUGGAGCUGGCAAAUACAAAGCCAGGCUGGAGUGCAAUGGCGCGAUCUUGGCUUACCGCAACCUUCGCCUCCUGGGUUCAAGCAAUUCUCCCGCAGUAUCUGCUUAUAGGACCCAGUGCUCCCGGUGAGACCUCUCCAUUCCCUCUCCCUCCCUCCCUUUCUGCCUCACACCCUCUCUCUCUUCCUGUCCUUCUAUAUCUGAGUCGUGUUUGGUCUGUGAUGUCACCGCCCCCCUCCCUGUGGCUGCCAUUCAGAGCUGGCAAUAAUGAAUAGCGCCGGAUUCCCACUCACUGGGCUCCAGCAGCACUACAGAGACACCAAGCCCUUUGUUGCAAAUAAUUAAUUUGGUCCCAUGUUUCGUAACAUCCUAAAAAGCUUUCCGGGGCGAGCACCUGCCAGACACCGUGAUCUCAUCAAUACUGCAUCGCAUCGGACACAAUUGCUGUGUGCUUUCAUUAAAAAUUUAAUUUGUGGUUUAAA